rnacentral:lncRNA from 1 species
AAAAAUUAUUAUGAUUUUGAUAUUAAGCCUUCAAAACCAGUUGCUUUUUUUUUUUUUUUGAGAUGGAGUCUCGCUCUGUCUUCCACGCUGGAGUGCGGUGGCGCUAUCUCGGCUCACUGCAAGCUCCGCCUCCCAGGUUCACGCCAUUCUCCUGCCUCAGCCUCCCGAGCGGCUGGGAGUACAGGCGCCUGCCACCAAGCCGGGCUAAGUUCUUGUAUUUUUAGUAGAGACAGGGUUUCACCGUGUUAGCCAGGAUGGUCUCGAUCUCCUGACCUCGUGAUCUGCCCACCUUGGCCUCCCAAAGUGCUGGGAUUACAGGCACCAGUUGCAUGUUUACAGCACAUCUCAUUUCAGGCUUAUCACCUCCCAACUGCUCACCUGUGGCUCAUGGCCACUGCACAGGCUGGGCAGCUGUGGACUGUGCAGCUCCCCGUCCAGGAAUGGAGAUUAUCAGGAGUCAGCCUAAGUCCUAUCAUUUUUCUCUUCUAUCUUAUCACUAUCUCUUCUUGGAGGGCCUCGGAUGUGUCUGGCCACUUCCUGCCAGGGCCAUUCCCUGAUGCUGCCAACCUUUCCCAGAAAAGGAGUGGCUCCUAGAAAGACAAGGCCUACCGAGAAAUGCAGAGGGGCAGGAAGUGAGCCAUUUCGAGGGCACUCCUGUGUCACCCUGUGCUGUUGGAGUCGCCGAGGAUACAGUGUACAGGUAGCGGGAUAGCCGGUUGCCAGCACAGGCUGGGUUGAGAAACCUCCAAGCAUUGCUGCCUGCUACUUCUCUCCCCAAGCCCGGCGCUCAUUCCUCCACACAUGUAGUAGCCCUGUGUUCCUUUUCUCCCAACUAAAGGCAAUUCAAGAUAAAUAAAUAUGUUGAUCUUGCCUGGGGGGCUCAACUAGUACGUUUGUCAGCACUGGGACCGGGGUUUAACCAUGACUAGCUACUUCAUUUGUCACAGGGGUGUAUUUAUCUGUGUUUGGAAGAUUUAAUUUUUCCCCCACGAAGAACUGUAUAAAUAGGUCUAAUGAGCCUUGAGGGCUCUCAUUUCCUUUCAGAGUUUCCAGCAAGCUGGGAAGUCUCAGGGCACGCUUGCCUCUUAGGACUCUGUGGUGCCCACUACAAGGGGGACUGGCGAAGCCGCAUCAUUCUCCUGGAGGGCACACAUGGCCUUGGGAUGCCCAGGUGCUCUCAUUCAGGGGGCUUACGUUUGGGGAUGUGUAAUUAAGAUUAUUUUUUUCUCUUUGCUUAUGAUAAUCUGCAUAAUCUUUUGUUUGUGUAGCUGGCAAAGUGCUCUCCAGAUAAAGAGAAGGGCGUAGUUAAUAUAUAUGAAUAGAAGAGUAACACUGGGGGCUGCUUGCUCUGAAGAUUGCCUCUCCAUCCAGCCAGCAUCCACUCCUGCCUUUCCUAUAUCAUGUUUUUCUUUUAUGAGAGAGUUUCUGUCUAAGUAAGAGCCGAUGUUAAUUCCAGCAGCAUGUGUUCCAGGGGCUUGGGGUGGUGGUACCAAGAGAAUGACGAUGAAACAGAGAGAGAGAGAGAGAGAGUGUAAGGCUGUGGUGCAGAAAAGGGAGAGGAGUGACAGAGGAUGUGCAGGGGGAGGCAAGGUAAGGGAAAGAAGAUUUUUAAGAAAUGAGAAAAAGGAAGAUAAUGAAGGAGGGGGGAGGAUGGAGGGAGAAACACAUGAGGUUAAAGAGGGAAUAUCAUAGAUGUCUUUGAUGGGAAAGGCCCCAGAAAUCCCAUUUUGGUUUCAUAGCUGGGGAAACAGUGGAGAGCAAGGGAAGUGACUUUCCUGUGCCCACCCACCAUGGUUACUGGCAGAGCGCGGGUUCUCAUGCAUGGCUCUGUCCUCAGUGGUACCUCCAGGAGGAAGAGUGGAGAGAGACGUACAGGGGGCUGUUUUAGAACUUGGUGGGUUCUUGUUUCAAUUAGUGUGUCAACAUUGAUGAUCUCGGGUGAGUCCUCUUUGUCCCCUUCCUCCUGACCACCACUGGUCAUUGCGGCUCUGGCUACUUCUUUGCAACAAGUGCUCUCUAUUCUGGUCUAAGUUUUCAUAUCAUCUGGGUGAGAUUAAGAAAGCAGAAACCCUGGCUGGUCGCAUUAAAAACAAAACCAAAAAUAACUCUGCAUACUUACCCCAUGUUGACUCCGUUAGGAGUGUCUGUGCUUAUUUCUUAGGCUCCCCAUGUUACUAGAACACACUUUGAGAAUUUCUUUAUGCAUCACACACACACACACACACACACACACACACACACACACACACACACAAAGUGGGGGGCCGUGGUACAGGUUCUACUCCCAGCUCUGAAGGAGUGUGCCGUUUUACUCCUUGCCUCAGUUUUCUCUACAGAGGAAUGGGCAGGUUGACCUGUUGACCUCUGACAUUGGAGGCCCCCUUGGCUUCCAUAUUUCGUGACUGCAGAGGCAGAAUGGUUUGGGGGAAAGAGCUUGAACUGUCUACUACCUGUAAAUAGACAAUUUCUAAAUUCUUUCUGGCUUCUUUGCCCAUUGCUGAAGCAAUAGGUCUCAUCAUUUCUGCCUCAUAGGAUUUUAAGUUUGAGAUAAUUUUUAUGAGGAAGUGGUCAGGAAGGCCUUGGUAAAGUAUAGUGGGUACAGGUUUUAAAUUGCAUUUUUCUUGUUUGCUUGUUGUCUAUUUCCUUAUUCCUGUGACUUUUAGGCUGAAGCUGGCUCAUAUUGGCUUGCCAAAGCUGAUGAAGCUCAUCUAUUUCCAACUUUGUUCAGUCAUAUCUCCUUGGUAGCCUGAAAUUGGUCAUGGUGGGAGUGUUUACACCAAGGAAAUUGGCUCACGCCUGUGAUCCCAGCAUUUUGGUAGGCCGAAAUGGGAGGGUCUCAUAAAGUCAGGAGUUUGAGUCCAGCCUGGCCAACAUGGUGAAACGCCUACUCUACUAUAAUAAAAAUACAAAAAUUAGCCACGCAUGGUGGUGUGUGCCUGUAGUCCCAGCUACUCAGGAGGCAUGAGGCAGAAAAUCACUUGAACCUGGGAGGCAGAGGUUGCAGUGAGCUGAGAUUGCACCAUAGCCCUCCAACCUGGGUGACAGAGUGAAACUCCAUCAAAAUUAAAACAAAAAAAAAAAAAAAAGGAAAUUGGCAAAUGUUGUAAAUCAAGCCUUCUUUUCCCCCCUGAAAAUUCAGUUGGGAAACAUUACCAGCACUCCACUGAGCCUGACCUUCCUAUUUUAUUUAGGUUUAUUCUGAUUUCUCUGGAUUUUGAGCAUAUUAUUCACUUAUGUAGCACCUGCUCAUUUUGAGCUUACUGCAUAAGUACUAUGGAUAGCAAUGCCAGAUAAAAUACAGGAUGUCUAGUUAAUUUUAAUUUUAGAUAAACAAUGAAUAAUGUUUUAGUGUAAGUAUGUCCCAUGCAAUAUUUUGGAUGUAUUCAUACCAUAAAUGUAUUAUUUAUCUGAAAUGGAAACUUACCAGGGGUGUCUUGUAUUUUUCUUUGCUAAAUCUAUCUACCUUAGCUAUGGAGAAUCUAGACUUAUAAGAUACAGUUCCUGCCUGGAGAUGCUUAUCGUAUAGUAGAGAUUACCGACCUUAUGAAAUUUGAGAUGAGAAUGUAAACUGGGAACUUGGUACACUAAAAUCCUCAUCUACAUCAUCAUGUACCCUUUAUUCAAUGUUUAUUGAACAACUAUUCUAUGCUGGGCACUAUUCUAGGUUCUGAGGAUUCCUCAGUAGACAAAACACAGACCCUUCUCACAGAGCUUCUCUCUGGUUUGAGAGAGACAGAUAAUAAAUAAGAUGAAAAAAAAAAGACUUAAGAUAUUAGUAGUAAGCACUGUGGAGAAAAAUAAAGCAGAGAAGGGACCUGGGGCAGGUAAGG